GAUGAACGCUGGCGGCGUGCUUAACACAUGCAAGUCGAACGGAAAGGCCCCAGCUUGCUGGGGUACACGAGUGGCGAACGGGUGAGUAACACGUGGGUGAUCUGCCCUGCACUUUGGGAUAAGCUUGGGAAACUGGGUCUAAUACCGAAUAUGACCACUUCUUGGAUGUUGUGGUGGAAAGCUUUUGCGGUGUGGGAUGAGCCUGCGGCCUAUCAGCUUGUUGGUGGGGUAAUGGCCUACCAAGGCGGCGACGGGUAUCCGGCCUGAGAGGGUGUACGGACACAUUGGGACUGAGAUACGGACCAGACUCCUACGGGAGGCAGCAGUGGGGAAUAUUGCACAAUGGGCGCAAGCCUGAUGCAGCGACGCCGCGUGGGGGAUGAAGGCCUUCGGGUUGUAAACUCCUUUCGCUAUCGACGAAGCCACUUGUGGUGACGGUAGGUAGAUAAGAAGCACCGGCUAACUACGUGCCAGCAGCCGCCGUAA
rnacentral:rRNA from 1 species